AGAAUACAAAGAAAAUUUACAUUUAUUAUACCGCAAAAAAACUCAUACAUUUAUAAAUACCAGUAACAUGCAUAGAAUUGGAAUAAGAUGGUUACUUUCUAAUAAAAGGAGACACCUCCAAUGGGCAAAGCAGUAAAAAAGGACUUUCCACAAAUUAAACGAGACUAGCCUCAGUAGAUCCUUAUUAACACUUAAGUGAAUUCAAAGCUCUUCCUGAAACUGGGAUUUGCCUCGCUAACCCUCUCUGCACCCUGAGCAACGAAGUUGGGGAUAAUUGGCUUCAGGAACUUGAACUCAUUUGUCCCGGAGCCUCCAGUCAGACACACCUCGUACUGGUAGCUCUGGGACAGGGUCCCGGUGCCGCUCACGUCCACCAUCUGCCCUGGAAAGGGGCCCUCGGGCACCGAGCAGCGACCCACCGAGGCCGCCCUGCUCCUCCUGCACAGCCGCACCGCCACGAACAGGAGCACCGAGAAGAGGAAGAGCGAAGACACCGAGGUCGGUGACGGUGAUGGUGAUGUUGUAUUCGGAUCUGGUCUCCCGGUCCAGGGCCGUGCUUAUCACCAGAGUGUAAAAGUUCUCAACAGAAGGUUUCAAGAAAAAAGGAAGAUCAUCUUGGAUGGAGCACACCAUCCUUCCGUUGUCUCCGGAGUCAGGAUCUGAAACGCUGAAUACAGCAAUGAGGGUGUCCUGCAAGUUUUCUGGGAUCUGAUUGAUAAGUGUCGACAUAGUUAGUUCCGGAGGAUUGUCAUUCAAAUCCAUCACUUGGACAAAUACCACACAAGUUCCAGAUAGGCCCCCACCAUCUGUCGCCUGAAUAUUUACUGUGUAUGUCUGGAUGGAUUCGAAAUCCAGUUUCUGUCUUAAAAGCAGUUCUCCCGAUUUUGCACUUAAUCGAAACGUUUUGCGAAUGUCUUCAGAUGCUUGGGAAAAUGCAUAAGAUAUUUCUCCAUUAGUUCCAAUGUCUAAAUCCCUGGCAGAGACGAUGGCAACCUGGGAUCCAACGGGGCUGUCCUCCGGGAUCUGCACCUCAUAGAGCAGCUUUGCAAACUCUGGGACGUUGUCAUUGAUGUCCACAACUUCAAUCCGUACCAGGGCCGUGCCGGACCUGGGUGGACUCCCGCCAUCUAGCGCUGUGAGGGUUAACCUGAUCUCAGGCUGCUCCUCGCGAUCCAGGGCUCUGUUCAGCACCAGCUGUGGUAAUAUUAUGCCAUCGAGACUGUCUUGUAAAUUAAGAUGAAAGUGGAAAUUGGGACUGAUUGUGUAAUUUUGGAGACUGUUGGUUCCUACAUCCAAGUCCUGGGCACGUUCUAUUAAGAAAGUAGUUCCAGGAGUGAUACUUUCUGGAAUUUUCAAAAGUAUUUCUUUGUCUAGGAAAACUGGGGAAUGAUCAUUUACGUCCCUAAUCCGUAGCUCCGCCUGAAAAAACUGCAAGGGAUUUUCUAGUAACACCUGGAAAGGUAGGACACAGGGCUCUGUGGGGCCGCACAGCUCCUCCCGGUCCAAUUUCUCAUUUAACAACAAAUCCCCGGUCUGCCUAUCGAACUGCAAAUGCAUUUUUUUUCCUUUGGAAACGACCCUGGCCCCCCUCACAGCAAGUUCUCCUAUCUCCAGCCCCAGGUCUUUUAACAAAUUGGCCACAAAGGAGCCACUCUCCGUUUCCUCGGCCACUGAAUAGUGCCUAGGCUGGCAACUAGCCUGAGCUAUGCCCAGCAAAACAAAGAAUAUCAGGACUUGCCUUUGUUUCGGAACGCGCUCCUUCCCCUCUCCGGCCUCCAUUGCUUUCUGGUCUCUCACCAAACGUGCUCCAGCUCUGGCUCACGUUGUCGCUAACUCUAUCUCCCCGUAUCUCGCUGAUACUGGGAUGAGUGGACAAUCCUAGGGCCCGGAUUUCCCGGAGCGACCGCCUUAGAAAG
rnacentral:lncRNA from 1 species